rnacentral:misc_RNA from 1 species
AUGAAACAAAUGUCAAGAGGGGUUGCAGCUGGCCUCAACGGGCAUGUGCUCACUCUGAUUGCACAUCCAUCUCUCACACCUGUGCACAACCUGUAGCUUGGGAUGAUCACAAUGUCGGAAACGAUGUUGAAAGCCCUUGCUAUGAAUUUUUACACACACGAAUGCAAGUGAUAGAAUGUAUAAAGUUAUAUAAGCGCGUAACAGCGUAAAUAAAUA